AGUGAACGCUGGCGGUAGGCCUAACACAUGCAAGUCGAACGGCAGCACUGUAAGAGCUUGCUCUUACGGGUGGCGAGUGGCGGACGGGUGAGGAAUACAUCGGAAUCUACUUUUUCGUGGGGGAUAACGUAGGGAAACUUACGCUAAUACCGCAUACGACCUACGGGUGAAAGCAUGGGAUCUUCGGACCUUGCGCGAUUGAAUGAGCCGAUGUCGGAUUAGCUAGUUGGCGGGGUAAAGGCCCACCAAGGCGACGAUCCGUAGCUGGUCUGAGAGGAUGAUCAGCCACACUGGAACUGAGACACGGUCCAGACUCCUACGGGAGGCAGCAGUGGGGAAUAUUGGACAAUGGGCGCAAGCCUGAUCCAGCCAUACCGCGUGUGUGAAGAAGGCCUUCGGGUUGUAAAGCCCUUUUGUUGGGAAAGAAAAGCAGCAGGUUAAUACCCCGCUGUCCUGACGGUACCCAAAGAAUAAGCACCGGCUAACUUCGUG
rnacentral:rRNA from 1 species